rnacentral:rRNA from 1 species
GUAGGUGGCAAGCGUUGUCCGGAAUUAUUGGGCGUAAAGCGCGCGCAGGCGGUCCUUUAAGUCUGAUGUGAAAGCCCACGGCUCAACCGUGGAGGGUCAUUGGAAACUGGGGGACUCGAGUACAGAAGAGGAAAGCGGAAUUCCAAGUGUAGCGGUGAAAUGCGUAGAGAUUUGGAGGAACACCAGUGGCGAAGGCGGCUUUCUGGUCUGUAACUGACGCUGAGGCGCGAAAGCGUGGGGAGCAAACAGGGAUUAGAUACCCUGGUAGUCCACGCCGUAAACGAUGAGUGCUAAGUGUUAGGGGGUUUCCCGCCCCUUAGUGCUGCAGCUAACGCAUUAAGCACUCCGCCUGGGGAGUACGCCGCAAGGCUG